rnacentral:rRNA from 1 species
UACGUAGGGUGCAAGCGUUAAUCGGAAUUACUGGGCGUAAAGCGUGCGCAGGCGGCUUUGCAAGACAGAUGUGAAAUCCCCGGGCUUAACCUGGGAACUGCAUUUGUGACUGCAUGGCUCGAGUACGGUAGAGGGGGAUGGAAUUCCGCGUGUAGCAGUGAAAUGCGUAGAUAUGCGGAGGAACACCGAUGGCGAAGGCAAUCCCCUGGGCCUGCACUGACGCUCAUGCACGAAAGCGUGGGGAGCGAACAGG